GUCAUGUCCCUGGUUAAUGGAGUGGAAUGUACACUCUAUUUCUUAAAUGAAUAAAGGAGAAAGGUGUUGAGAGAUGGCCAUUCAGAGAGAAUAAGACGAAAUGAGAUGAAAGAGCUGCCUGGGUGAUGUUGUUUGACCUGUUGAUAUAAUCAUGUUUCUGAAGAUGAGAUCUGAGUCACCCCAGUUCAGCCUGGGUGCUAUCGGCCAUGUGCAUUCACCCAGUCUGUUGGGGGCAGUCAUGGAUAGCAUGAAGCCAUUCCAUUCUGGCAAGGUCAUCAUGAGUCAAAGGUUGAGAAAAUAGCUUGUCCUGAC
rnacentral:lncRNA from 1 species